AGAGGAAUCACGUUUGAAGUUUGCUUAAACGAUGAAGAGGAGGUCAAAGAGGAGAGCGGACCCACAGAGGAGGUGACGCUCGGAGGAGGACGGAAUCUGCUCCUCCUUUUCCCUUCACUCACUCUUUGAAUCAAACUCCAGGACGGGAAGAGGAUGAACCUGGAGGAGUGGUUUCGGGUGAGAAGAGGGUGGAGCAUGAGGUGUCCUCAGACGGCGCUGGACGCCCUCGCGGACAUGGACGUCAACUCGGCGUCCCACACGGCCGCUGGAGCUGCAGAAGGUGCAGGACGGGUCUGCGUUUGAGCCCACAUGAUUGUUUCCGUUUGCUCCUCACUGACCUAAAAAGUUCCCUUUCAGCUCUCACAGAGGAGGGGGCCACAGGUCGCAGGCGGUGGGUGGACACCCCCCCAAAAUCCCUGCUGGAUGCUCUGGGUCAGGCUGAACUGACAUCAUCCACUCUGGACUCACCGGCUGCAGACCUGGAGUCAGAGGACGUCACCAGGGAGGAGAAAGAGGGAAAACAGCCGGAUGGGGAAGAGGAGGAAGACUCUGAUGUGGAGUUGGAUGCAGAGCGUCUGGAGCCGCGGUCCGAUGACGAUGACACGUGAGUUAACGGUUAACGUGGCUGUCCGUGAGCCGUUGACCUGACGAUGACCCAACCCGGACAUCAGAGCCAAUCAUCUGGAAUAAAACCCCAAACCGAAGAGAAAACGCCUCAGAAGUGGUCGGGAGAGCGCCAGCAGAGCGGCGACCGAUUGAUUUUACAGUUAAAGCCACGUUUACAUCCAUUUUAGAUCAAAAACAAACAUCAUUCCUUGUCGUUUUUAAAUUGUCCAACAGCUGAGCAAACAGAUGAGAGCUCUUGUGUUGGUCAGACUGUGACACACGGAGUAUAUUUGAAUAAACCCCUUUUGUAAUUUAGACUAAACUUUAUAUUAUAUAUGAUAUUUGCACCCUUUUAUUAUGCUGGACUGGACAAAAAAGAAGAAGAGGGACAAAGAGGGGGGGAGGGGGGGGGGGGGGGGUAAAAUCAGAAAGCAAGAAGUUGCUGGAAGUUUAUAAUCAUUGCUAAAAGGAUAAAAGGGGCGGGGCCUGUCCACACACACAAUCAGUUGUUACAAACAUGCCUGUUGGCUCCAAAAAUCUUCACAUAUAAACAUUUCAACAUGGACUCAACACAAAUGGAUGAUGGAACGUAAAAGCAAGAGAGCAGAGAGAGGCUGCAAGCUCCAGCCCAGCCUCUCCCCCUAAAAAAACGUUUAUAUCUAUUCUCACAAAACGCUGUGAUGUUUUUCCAUAAAGACAAAGAACUGAAGAAGGAAAAAUAAACCUGGGGUGAAGGCAGUUGAAUUUUGUGGUUCUCAACAGGAACUUUGAGGAAUCCGAGGACGAGCUGAAGGAGGAGGUGGCAGACUCCAUGAGGAACCUGUUGGUCAUGGAGGACUCCGGCUCCGAGGAGCACGGAGAAGCCGAGAGCUGCAACGGAUCCUCAGCAGGUCCACCCGUGUGACGGAGGAACCGAAGGGCGGCGGCAUCGGUCCGGCUGAACAUGAACAGCCUCAGCCCUGCCGACCAUGAACCAACACUAAUGUCCCUUCUAACAAAAACCCAACAGUUUCUGAAAGCUUCAGGUCUGUUGGUCUGAGGUUAGAAAAAAAGCAAAGGAACCAGAGAAUUAUGAGCAGAACAGCAAGAGAAACCCCUGGAAGGAACGAGUGUUUAUGGACAAGAAGUUUGCUUCUCUAAACUGCCUCCUGUGUUCGGCUAAAGGAAAACACUCUCAUGUGUUUCUAUGCAGACAAAAUGUCUUGGUUUAGUUUUCCCUGAUGUGAGCAGAUCAUGUAGAAUUUCAGGUCAGACUUUUCAGCGUUGAGUAUUUCCACCGUCUAACAUCCUAAACGAUGAAAACUCCAAUCUUUGGAUUGAGAUGCUCACAGGAGUUUAUCCUCUG
ensembl:lncRNA